rnacentral:rRNA from 1 species
GAAUAUUGCGCAAUGGAGGCAACUCUGACGCAGCAACGCCGCGUGCGGGAAGAAGGUUUUCGGAUCGUAAACCGCUUUUUUGCCGGAAGAGCACGGACGGUACGGCAAGAAUAAGUCCCGGCUAACUAAGUUCCAGCAGCCGCGGUAAAACGUAGGAGGCGAGCGUUAUCCGGAUUUACUGGGCGUAAAGCGCGUGCAGGCGGUUAAGUAAGUCGUGCGUGAAAGCUCCCUGGCUCAACCGGGAGAGGUCGUGCGAUACUGCUUAACUAUGAGGCAGGUAGAGGCAAGUGGAAUUCCGGGUGUAGUGGUGAAAUGCGUAGAUAUCCGGAGGAACAUCAGUGGCGAAGGCGACUUGCUGGCCCUGACCUGACGCUCAGACGCGAAAGCAUGGGGAGCGAACGGG